AAGACCCAGCCCCAGACCAGGCCCUAGCAGUUCAUAGUCUGAUACGGUGGUUCUCAGCCAGGGGUGAUUUUGAUCCCCAGGUAAUAUUUAACAAUGUCUGGAGAUGCUUCUGGCUGUCGCACUUGUGGGGGCUGGGAGGUAUGCUAUUAUCAUCUAGCGGGUAGUGGCCACGGAUGCUGCUAAACAUCCUACUCUGCUGAGGACAGUCCUUCAACAAGGAGUUCCCCAUCCCAAUUGUCAAAAGUGCCACGGUUGAGAAACUGUGGUCUAAUGAAAGUGUCAGAAACAUAUACAGACACCAACAGCACAGCAGGUCAGCAUGCGGGCUUCAGCGUCCAGAGGAGGUACAUAGACCAGCAGGCGGUGAGGUGUCAGAUAAGGCUUCUGAGGGAAGAAACUCCCCUGCAGGGGGUUUGGAAAGAACAUGUAUGGAAGGGAGCAGGACACAUGGAACCAAGGAACAACUGCAGUCCUUCAGUGCACACAGCCCAGAGAGAGAGGGGAGAGGAGUUCCAGGCUAGAGCCACGGAAGCCUUGGAGGCUGUGUUAAGGAGGGAGACUUCAUCCAGAUAGGAGUGGUAAGGCAUUGUGGGAUGCUAAGCAGGGGAGGGAUGUAGACAGAUGCCUGCUUUAGAAGGCACCUCCUCCUGGGGAUACAGGAACCCUCAGGCACUGCUGGUAAGAUGGUAAAUUGGUGCCGCUCUUCUGGAAUCUGUAGAAAUCUGUCAUUAUUCGGUCACUUCAGUCUUAUUAAGUUCAUGCAUACCCACGACUGAGCAGUUCCACUCAUGGAUACAUAGCUCGGGGGAAUAUUCCACAGGUCCAUAAAGAGAGAUGCAUGAGGAAGUUGAUCAGUGUUCUUUGUGGUGGUGGGGAGAGGAGGCAGCCUGGGUAUCCACCCCUUGGGAGAGUAUGUGUGCCGUGGAGCCCUGCACAGCAGUUCGGGGCUGCCAGAUGGGACCUAAAACCCAGUGCUGAGGGGAAAAAGUGUAUCAAGAAUGUAUACACAAAAGUUGGCCAGGCGCGGUGGCUUACUUCUGUAAUGCCAGCACUUUGGGAGCCUGAAGCGGGUGGAUCACCUGAGUCAGGAGUUCGAGACCAGCCUGACAAACAUGGUUAAACCCCGUCUCUACUAGAAAUACAAAAUUAGCCAGGCGUGGUGGCGCAUACCUGUAAUCCCAGCUACUCAGGAGGCUGAGGCAGGAGAAUCGCUUGAACCUGGGAGGCGGAGGUUGCAGUGAGCCAAGGUCGCGCCAUUGCACUCCUGCCUAGGCAAUAAGAGUGAAACUCCAUCUCAAAAAAAAAAAAAAAAAAAAAAAAGAAUGUACACACAAAAGAAUUCACAUUUUGGAAGAACACUUAGAAACUGAGAAGACACAGUAAACACACUAGAGGCCAGGUGUGGUGGCUCAUGCCUGUAAUCCCAACACUUUAAGAGGCCAAGGUGGGAGGAUCACUUGAGGCCAGGAGUUCAAGACCAGCCUGGGCAACAUAGUGAGACCUCCAUCUCUAUAAAACAAAACAAAAAAAUGCUAAUAAAACAUGCUAGAAUGAUUGAUUAGGGUAAGGAGGAGGGCUUUGGGGUAUAAAAGGGAGUAAAUAAAAAAGGAAGCAGAAGAAGCUCACUAUGUCAUGGAGUGAAAGGGCUGGAUGGCAGGGUGGACAAGAGCACCAUCAGGGAGACUUAGCCAGAAACUGCUGAGAGAACAGUGACCAGACCUUGCAGCACAAAAUGGAGAGGAUGGCCAGGCCUGCAGGAGACUGAGGAAGGGGAUUUUCAGAGCCUAGUGGUUGACAGAAUGGAGGAGGGAGGAGGGAGAGGGAGGAGCUGAGUUUGGCACCCAGAUUUCUGGGUGGAUGACUAAGCCAAUGGAGCCCACACUAAGUGGUGAACCCAGGACCAGGAGCAGGUUGUGGGGCAGGGGAUGAGUUCAAUAUGGGCAUGGUAAGCUUGAGGGACUGUGCAGCAAGCUAGUGGAGAUAUCCACAGGGCAGUUGGCUGCCGCUGUGGUCUGAAUGCUGUGUCCCUGCAAAUUCAUAUGAAAUCCGAACCCCCAAGGUCAUUAUAUUAGGAGGUGGGGGCCUUUGAGAGGUGAUUAGGGAUUAGUGAAUGGGAUUAGUGCCCUUAUAAAAAAGAGCCUUCAGAGAGCUCCCUCACUACUCACACCAUGGGAGGACACUGAGAAGAUGGCAUCUGUGAACCAGAAAGCAGGCCCUCACCAGACACCGAAUCUGCCAGGCCUUGAUCUCGGACUUCCCAGCCUCCACAACUGUGAGAAAUAAAUGUUUGCUGUUUAC
rnacentral:lncRNA from 10 species